rnacentral:rRNA from 1 species
AACGAACGCUGGCGGCAUGCCUAACACAUGCAAGUCGAACGAACCCUUCGGGGUGAGUGGCGCACGGGUGCGUAACACGUGGGAACCUGCCCUUAGGUUCGGAAUAACACAGAGAAAUUUGUGCUAAUACCGGAUAAUGUCUUCGGACCAAAGAUUUAUCGCCUUUGGAUGGGCCCGCGUAGGAUUAGCUAGUUGGUGAGGUAAAGGCUCACCAAGGCGACGAUCCUUAGCUGGUCUUAGAGGAUGAUCAGCCACACUGGGACUGAGACACGGCCCAGACUCCUACGGGAGGCAGCAGUGGGGAAUAUUGGACAAUGGGCGAAAGCCUGAUCCAGCAAUGCCGCGUGAGUGAUGAAGGCCUUAGGGUUGUAAAGCUCUUUUACCCGGGAUGAUAAUGACAGUACCGGGAGAAUAAGCUCCGGCUAACUCCGUGCCAGCCGCCGCGGUAAUAC